rnacentral:rRNA from 1 species
AGUGAACGCUGGCGGUAGGCCUAACACAUGCAAGUCGAACGGCCGCACAAUAAGAGCUUGCCCUUACGGUUGGCGAGGGGCGGACGGGUAAGGAAUACAUCAGCAACUUAUUUUUCGUGGGGGACAACGUAGGGAAACUGCUGCUAAUAGCGCAUACGAUCUACGGGUUAAAGCAAGGGUUAUUCGCACCUUGCGUGACUGAUAUAGCCGGAUUCGGAUUAGAGAGUUUGCGGGGUAAAGGCCCCCCACGGCGACGCUCCGUAGCUGGUCUGAGAGGAUGAUCAGCCACACUGGAACUGAGACACGGUCCAGACUCCUAAGGGAGGCAGCAGUGGGGAAUAUUGGACAAUGGGCGCAAGCCUGAUACAGCCAUACCGCGUGGGUGAAGAAGGCCUUCGGGUUGUAAAGCCCUUUUGUUGGGAAAGAAAAGCAGCAGGUUAAUACCCCGCUGUUCUGACGGUACCCAAAGAAUAAGCACCGGCUAACUUCGUG